rnacentral:rRNA from 1 species
UUUGUUUUCUAAGGAUUAAUUUUAAAAUUAAAAUAUUUGGCGGCUAUUUAUAUUAAAGGGAUUUGCUUUUAUCGAUUUGCCUCGUUAUUUAUUAUUUAAUUAAUUUUUGUAUACCGUCAUUUAGAUAAUUUUUAUAAAAUUAAUUAUGGCUCUAUUUUAUUAAUAUUAGAUCAAGGUGCAGAUAUAAUUAAUCAUAAGUUAAUGACAAUAAAUUAUUAUUAUACGGUAUAUAUGAAAUAUAUUAAAAUAGGAGGAUUUAAAUGUAAUGGAAAAAUAUUGAAAUU